GUGCUCACCUCAGCAUUACAUAUAACACAUUUUGAAUGAUACAGAGAUUAACAUCGCCCUUGGGAAAGGAUGGCAAAUUUGUGAGCUGCUCCAUAUGUUU
rnacentral:snRNA from 1 species